rnacentral:lncRNA from 1 species
AAUUUUUUUUUUUUAUAAAACUCAGCUUUUCACUUUAAUAAAAAGGGAGUCUCACCAAUCAAGUGGGAACGCGUCGUGAAAAUUGUGGGUCCACACUUAGCUGGGGAUGAACUUGAAUCAUCAAGUGCAAAGAGUCAAUAACAAUUACAGUAGCAGGCAAAAAGAGGAUCAUCGGUUGCUGACCCUCUACUAUCUUUGACUUUAUCAGAUGAGGAAAGUCAUACAACCAAUGCUAGCUUUUUGCUAACAAUGGAGGAACGUAUCAACAUAGAAGCCUUCCUCCACCAAAAUGCAGAUAUCUUUGUCUAAAGUCACUUAGAUAUGUUAGGAAUUGACCCAUAUGUGUUUGCUCAUAAAUUGAAUAUUCUCCCCAACAUGUAUCUGGUAAGGCAAAAAGUCUGAAGCUUCUACUCGGAACGCCAAAAAAUAAUACAAACGAAAGUUGAUAAGCUGUUGGCCAUUGAAUUUAUCCGGGAAGUUGCCUAUCCAGAUUGGUUGGCCAACGUCAUCGUAGUUCCAAAAAUUGGAGGAACCUAGCGAGUGUGUGUGGACUAUACGAACUUAAAUGACAUUUGCUCGAGGGAUAGCUUCUCUUUGCCUUAGAUCUAUUAGAUUGUUGAUUCCAUGUCUGUAAAUGGAAUGCUUUCCUUUCUAGACACUUUCUCCAGUUACCAUCAAAUCCUUAUGUUCCAUCAUAAUCAAGAAAAAAAUAGUCUUUAUCACACUUUAUGGAUUGUAUUGCUAUAACAUCAUUCCUUUUGGGUUAAAAAAUGCAGGUGCAAUGUAUUAAAGGCUGAUGACAAAAAUCUUCAAACCUUUGAUGGGACGAACAGUGGAGGUAUACAUUGACGACUAUGUCAUUAGAAGUAAAACUUGUACAAAACACAUGCAACACUUGGAAUAAGCAUUUGCCCUAAUGCGGAAGUACAAUAUAAAACUUAACCCGCUUAAGUGUGCAUUUGGCAUCAGCAUCAGCAAAUUUAUUUGCUUUUUGGUGACUCAACGAGGAAUUGAAAUGAACUCGAACCAAGUGAAGGUCGUGCUUGAGACACUUGUUAUGUUCACUAAGAAGGAAAUGCAUUCUAACUAGUCAUUUUAUAGCCUUGAGCCAAUUUAUAGCCCAAUUCACUUAUAAGCUCCGUUUGUUCUUCAUUACUCUACAUGAAGCCCAAAAGUUUGGUUGGAUAGAGGAAUGCAAUAGUGCUUAUGAUGCAAUUUAGCAAUGCCUUACAGAAAGGAGAGGAACUAUACAUGUAUUUUGCUAUCUCAUACUAUGUAGUCAAUGUCAUCCUAAUAUGACAAGCCCAAGAGGACGGGCAAAAACCUGCCUACUACGUGAGUAAGGCAAUGGUAGACCCUGAGACCUGGUACUCUCAAGUAGAGCAUAUGGCACUAACAUUGCGUGUUGUUGCUAAAAAGCUCCAUUUGUAUUUCCAGGCAUAUCAAGUGACCAUCUUGACAAAUCAACCAUUGAAGGUCACCUUGCACAAGCUAGAUCUAUCUGGACAAAUGAUGAAAUGGGCUAUUAAGUUGAACAAAUAUGACAUACAAUACAAAUCAUGCUUGUCAUUUAAAUACUAGGUCAUCAUAGACUUUAUAGUCGAGUUAUCCCAAAAACGGGUGCAGAUUGACACUAUCAACUAUUGGUGGAUCUUGCAUAUAGACGAAGCAUCAGGAGUUGGAUUAGGGCUCAUAUUACUCUCUCAUACUAGGGAGAUGAUUAAGUAGUUCGCCCGCCUCAAUUUUCCCGUAUCUAAUAAUGAGGUUGAAUACGAGGCAAUUAUAGUUAGCCUCGAUCUUGCCUUGACACUUGCAGCAUCGAAGGUAGAAAUACAAAGUGACUCCCAAUUAGUGGUCGAGCAAAUCCAGCGAGAGUAUGAGGCCAUGAAUGAACGUAUGGCCCACUACCUCAGUAGAGUGGAAUCCCAUUUAGCUAAGUUGUCUGAUUGGAUAGUCAAACGUAUUCCUUGUAAAGAGAACGGAAAAACAGAUGCAUUUUCCGGAGUUGCCACUGUCCUACCCAUCAUUGAAUCUAUCAUGUUGUUAGUUUAUGUCCAACUCAUGCCUUCUAUUACUUCAAAACGGGUCCAUGAUGUGGCUCAUGUAGGUGUAGUAUGGAUGCACCCUAUUUUCAAUUAUCUCCACAGUGGUGAAGUUUUAGAGGACUGCAAACAAGCAUAUAAGCUUUGUAUUCAAGGUACUCGAUUUACUUUGAUCAAUGAUAAAUUGUAUAGAAGAGUCUUUGAGAACACAACCAAAAUAGGAGCUGGUAAGCGCCAGUCCCAUUAGGAAGGGCCUUAUGUUGUACACAAAAUGGGAGGAGUAGGAGCGUACCAUCUACAGACAUUAGACAAAACGCCACUACUCCGUCCUUGGAAUGUAGCAAAUUUGAAGAAAUACUAUCAAUAAGCAAGUUGUGCAUAAAUCAUGUUUGUACUUGAUUUUUGUGCGGCUAAACAAGCCAGAUUGCAAACAACUAAUAAGUCAGAUUGUAAAUGACAUGACCAGUAUGACCUGAGCCACAAAUUUAAAGAACAUCAAGGCAUAGCCUAAGCAGCACAAGCCUUAAAGCUCCCAUGGGAGAAAUGACAAAAGGCCUAAGAUACUUAAUGUUACUCAAGGCCGAAUGAAUAACUUGAGUCUAGCAAUGAAUAUGAUGGUGUAAUACACAGGCAAAUUUCACAAAACAUGAAAACCAAAUCAUGGAAACUCAUUGAAAAUUGUGUUCAUUUGUAUCACCAAAAAAGGGAAAGGCUAAAAGGCCAAUGUUUAUAUAAUUAAAAUACCUAAGUGGCCAAAAGAAGGGAAUAUAAAAGUGGCUUCAUCUUAAUAUUCACGGUCGAUUGCUGUAGAUCCAUUUCUCGCUCCUAAUCCGUCUUCUUGCCCUGCACCAACAUCCAACUUAGCUUUGUUUCCGUCGUUUGAUGGAAUGUUGGGUAUAUUAUCAGUAAUGUCAUGUUUCUUCAUACAACAUUGGGUAGUCGUAAAAGAACAUAUCAUCCACUUACUGUUGAUAUGCCACCUCCAACUCUUUCUUCUCCUUAGCAAAAUCGGACAUGGUUUACUUGAGUUCCUGCUUUAGUCGGGCAUUUUCUUCUUUAGCUUUGGUGCUAGAUGAUUCAGUAGUGGUCAUAUCCAAUUUCAGUUGGUGGAUCUCGGCCUAAAGCAUAUCAUUCUUCAUCUCAGCAUUCCUUAGUAAACCCACACCCUAAAUUGUCGUCUUCCAUGCAACGGCUUUAGCAGCUGGUAUAGUAUGUGCAUUAGGCAUAGAGUUGUCACCAGAUAUGGUGACCAUCUCUCCUAGCCCGUAGAAAGGAAUGUUUUCCGUGUCCUAUGCCUUAAGAGCAGGUGGAAACGAAGGAAUCAAUAUCGGUGAAGCAUUGGCAGCAAGCCUGGAGGACGAACCCUUUUUGCACGUUCUUUGUUUCUUUGACGAAGGCUCGAUUUCAAUGGCCUCGCCCAACCAUUUCUAUUGUCGCUUAUGGAAUCCAACUCAUAGAUUGGCAGUCAUUUCUUCAUUUUCCGCUUCUUCGACUAUAAGUGGCACAACUAGCUCGGUAGUUCACACCACUCAGUCUACUCUGCUCCGAAUGUUUUGUUCGGCUUGAUCACGGUCUCCUGAACUUGAGGCCAAACAAUAAUCUUUUUCUUUCCUGGUCGGGGAUAGGAUUUGAAGCCACUCGGGAAGUGGAACCAGGGGCUUGGCGUAAAGUCUCCUUUUGGCGUUUUUUCUCCCGAGUGUCUAAAUGAGCUUGUUUCGCCUCGUUGUCAGCAAGAUGGGAAACCUCGUAGAAAGGCAAGUCCUUCAUCACGAAGUGCUCGCCUAACACAAGGGUUGGUGGUGCUAGUCGUAAAAGAAAAGUGAUUACAAACGGCUUUGCUUAAGCAAAUACGAUCCUUAUGUUUUUUUCGGCAAGCAACACACCAUGACUCUAUUCAGACUAGUCAAUCUCAAAUAGUUUUUUAAGGCAGGUGAAUGACGACUUCUCUACCCACUCAACCAAGUGGCCCCGUCUUUAUUUGCUUGCACGGAUAGAGAACAUAUUAAUGAAGUCACAAUAAAGUGAAAGUAAGUAAUAGAUAAGUCCUAUGUGAGCUGUGAAAACAUUCAAUACUUGGAAUUUCUAGAGAACGUGUGGACUUAAAUAACUGUAGACCCUCAAUUUUGUCCUCCUAGCACAUGUUUUAUUAGAUACUUGUUCGAUAAUUUAUAGUUAGCUCCUUGGUGGCCCAUAUCUACUCAUACUACUUACCUUUUUUGAACCACCUUAGAGACUCUAGUUGAAGGAUUGCCUAACCCCUUAUUAUGACCUUGGCAGCCCUAAUUUAGACUUAGGCACUUUCCUGAACGCCUUAGGCCUAUUUAAGCAUUUUUUAAACCCGCUUUUUAUAUGACUUGCAUGAUUGCAUGGCUUAAAUGACUUGUGUGGCUUAUAUGGAUUUCUUUAUUAUUUUUCUUUUAUUUUAUUUUAUUUUAUCUUAUCACAAGUUUUCUAAAUCAUAUUUCUUGGCUUUUUGGGCAUGAGGAAACGGGCCGCCAUCUAUUUGGAAGGAGAAUCAACAGAAUUUUGAAAAAGAUGAUAUUUUGUUUUUAGAAGGAUAGCACAUAUAUUAUUUCCAUGGGAGAAUCGGUUAUAAAAGGGUAGAAAAUAAGAAAGGAAAGAGAUUUCCUUUUUUUGGAUCAGAGAAUUUUUAUUUUUGGAGGAGAGAGAUCUAAGACAAAGGAGGACUUUUUUCUUUGGCAGGAAGAUUUUUUUUCUUUUGGAGCAAAAAUUCACAUACAAAAGGCAAUAUUUUUUAAAGGAGAGGGACACACGCAAUUUCUUUUGGGGGAGCGGUAGAAGACCUGAAAGACUAAUUGGGCUGCCAUUUUGAAACAUCAAGAGAGUAUUUUUCCGAUACAAUACAGGUUAGUUUUCGAUUUUUGAUACCGUAUUUCUUUUUUUCUUUUUGGGUUUUAGUUGUUUGGUUUAAUUAAUUGUUUGUGAUAAAUUCUUUUAAAUCUCGAUUUCGAACAAUCUUUUAUUUUUCUUAGAUUAAAUGUCUCUCUUUUAUGAUUGCAAUUCAUUAGUUCUAUGCUAGUUUAUUUUUAAUUUACAUGAAAGUUUAAAUAAAGUUUAUAUUUUUAAUUCCGAUUAGUUAAAAUUCUAGUUUAUUUUUAAUUUGAAUGAGUUAUUGAUCUUAAAUCUAUUAGUUUAAUUGGACUUGUAAGGUAAAGUUUAUAUUUUUAAUUCCAAUUAGUUAAAAUUCUAGUUUAUUUUUUAAUUUGAAUGAGUUAUUGAUCUUAAAUCGAUUAGUUUAAUUGGACUUGUAAGGUAAAGUUUAUAUUUUUAAUUCCGAUUAGUUCAAAUUCUAGUUUAUUUUUAAUUUGAAUGAGUUAUUGAUCUUAAAUCUAUUAGUUUAAUUGGACUUGUAAGGUAAAGUUUAUAUUUUUAAUUCCUAUUAGUUUAAAUUCUAGUUUAUUUUUAAUUUGAAUAAGUUAUUGAUCUUAAAUCUAUUAGUUUAAUUGGACUUGUAAGGUAAAGUUUAUAUUUUUAAUUCCGAUUAGUUUAAAUUCUAGUUUAAUUUUUAAUUUGAAUGAGUUAUUGAUCUUAAAUCUAUUAGUUUAAUUGGACUUGUAAGGUAAAGUUUAUAUUUUUAAUUCCGAUUAGUUUAAAUUCUAGUUUAUUUUUAAUUUGAAUGUGUUAUCGAUCUUAAUUCUUUAGUUUAAUCGAUCUUGUGAGGUAAAGUUUACAUUUUUAAUUCCAAUUAGUCUAAUUCUAGUUAUUCAUGUGUUUCUUGAAAUUUAAAUGUUAGUUUUUGGAUGAUAAUUUUGUUAGUUUGUUUGAUUAGAAAGUCAUAAAUUUGUUGCCUUAGUGAUUGUUGGUCAAAUAUUUUUUUGAGGGCCGCUGGAAACCCAUGAAGGUUGGCCUUUACUCUCACCACUUUAACUGACAAGAUUUUCUAAAAUUUUUAUUUCGUGAUCUUUGUUUCCUUUUGUUUUGAUUGAUAUUUUGUUUUCUAUUUUUGUUAUUUUAAAAAUUAAUUUUUUUUAUUUUAAAACAAAACUCUUUUUCUCAAAAAAAUCGUUUUUAAAUUUUUUUUAUUAUUAUUCAUUUAAAGCCUUUAGAAUCAAAAUCUAUUUUCUUUUUAAAAAAUAAUAUGCAAACAUAUCUUAAUCGGUUUGCAUCCUUCUCAAUUUUCAACAAAAAUUUUGGUUUUAAACAAAACGCGAAUCAAAGCUUGUGGUCCCAAAUAAAUGGGACAAUUUUAAGCUAAAUUCGUAUAUAUUAAUUUGGGGAAUUGGUGAAACCCCUACAUAAGAAAUUUUUUUCAAAAUUUACUUUUGCUACCACCCUGCUAUUUAUCGUAAUCAUAUUUACAUUUUUCUUUUUAGGAAUUGUAUACAAGAUAUGUAUGAUAAUUAAUUAUUCCGAAUUCUGAUAAUUUUUGCUAAUUAAUUAGAUAAGCAUGCUAGGAUUUAUUAUUUAUUAUUUAUUAUCUAACCCCCAUGUCCUGAGGAAGCAUAUUAGGAGUUAUAUAUGCUAUCUAGGUACGUUCCCAAAAUUUCAUGAAUAUGCAUGUCAUUGCCCUUGUUUGAUGCCAUACUUGAUUGCCUCGAUGCUUGUUUGAUCAUCCUUGAUAAAAUGCAUGUCGUGUGUCAUAUUUCUGAAUUAACCAUUGAUGUUUUAUGAUAGUGCUUAAGAAGUGGUUCAGGUACGCACCCUAACUCUCCUUUAUUGUGAUUGAUCUCCUUAUUUAGCAUGCUACUUUCUGAAAAUCACCUAGCUUACUUAGGUAUCUACAAUUAAUCAAUUAAUUGCCCCAUUUCCCCAAUUUAGUCAGUAAAGACCUCUUUAGGGCUUAGAAGGGUGCUACCUCUUAGAGGUACCUUCCCAAUAAGUAACCUGAUCCCCGGACCUAGACUCAGGUUUUUCAAAGAUAUGUUUUUUCCAAAAAUUAUGGAGUCACAUUUUAGGGUUUUUCUUUCUUGUUUUAUUUUCCCUUUAAAAUAAAAAUAAAAUAAGUGGCGGCUCCAACUUUUCCAAAACUAAAUAAUUUUUCACAAAUAAAAAGAGAAUCUCGCCGAUCGAGUGGGGACGCACGUGAAAAAUGCGGGUCCACAAUAACCUAUCCAGACUUUAAGUUGAUCUGUUCCAUGGACCAAACACCAACACAUGUCCUUUGUCCAAACCCUUACUAAAGUUUGGCAGUCCAGUUAUGAAUUGCAAAGAGAGGAUGUGAGUCGACAGACUAAAGCAUUCAUUGCGGCUCAUCUUUAUUGUGCAGACGACCAACACCUCCAAUAAGGACAAGUCCAGCUGAUAUAAGGUGUCUAGCACACUACAUCCCAUCAAAAUUUGGAUGACGUUAGGAUUGAUGAAGAUAAGAGGGAUUCAAGAUAAAUGCAAGAAUUGUUUCACCAAUGAGGGAAUGGGCAGGCGGAGUCUCGUUGCAAACUAUUCUUUGGUGAAAUAGAUCAUAUUGUUAGGAAGCCUGUCUAUAGACAAAGCCUCUUCAUAUGAUAAUAGGAUAGAAAUAGAAUCCGGAAUGUAGCAGCAAGAACAGAAUUCCUGCUCGGACAACUCGCCAAUUAGAUGCCUCGAUAGAGAACGACCAGACCAUGAUGACUUAGCCCUGCCGCAUUGAGUUCUAUCGCUUGUAGAUGCGACCACACUUCUGUCCAUAUUUGCAAAUGGAAAAAAGGUUGAAUAAACACCUACAUGAUAGAAGUGUUAACUAGUUAACACAGGGACCCCUAUAAUGACACUUAACCAAAAGCUACACUCAUCACACAAAUCCUACCCUAAACGGCUUGACACAAAACUUGUUGGGCAAGUCAUGUUUAUACAGUGUCCAUGGUCUCAAGCCAUGACCUCACUUAAGCCCAGAAACGCUAUAUAACUCUCAAAAUGACAGUAAAAGGCAAACAUAAACUCCAAAUCCAUAAUCGGAUUGAUAUAAGAACAGAUUUCAGCAAAAACAUAUGGAACGCGCAAACAAAAACCAUGGAGAAAGUGCAUUCAUCAAUGAAGAAAAAAACCAUAAAAAUAGAUAUUGAAGAGGAACUCAAUACCUAGUAAACUGCGUUGUGGUUGAAUCAAAAUCAAAAGACCUGAAGCAUCUUCAAUGGAGAGAAGAAAAUUACCGAAAAGUAACAGUAGAAAUGAAAUGAACCAUCUACCUAAAAACAACCAACCUAUAUAAGGGUAUGACUGCAAAAAAUCACGGCGUCCGAAGGGGUGCGCCGCCUGACACCACACCUUGAUUGAUGUAACCCAUUAACGAAUGAGCAUGUCCCAUGUGGAUUUUAGGCAUCAUUCUUUCAAAAUCUCCAAAAGUCACAACUCUUGCAUUUGACCGUCUGACGUCUACUCAGGCCUAACUACAAGACUUGGGGGGCAUUGUGGGGGUCCCUCUCUACAAGGUCAUCCUUAAGUCCACCACUCUCUUAUAGUCGUUUAGCUAGAGGGUGCCAUAUGAGAAACUGCUCUCUGCUAGAUGGCCUUACGACCCUACGACCGGGUGACUGAUCCGUCUCAAAGUAGGUCAGAUGAUUACAUCCUACACGGGUACAGCAUGACUAAAGCAUGAUCGUCUAUCAUGCAUUUACACACCCAUUAAUGUGCAAAUUGUGUGCCUGACAUGCUCCAUAUUAACUACGGUUGUCAUGGGAAACAUUACAUUCUCAAUGGCUCAUCAUGGUGAGACAACCGUUAUGCAUUGGCAAUCAAUGCCAUCAGAUUGCACAAUCAAGCGCAAUUAAGGUGCUAUUAAGAUACCUAGUAAGACGUUACACCGCACAAGGUAUAAAUAAUCAUGCAGACACUACUAAGAAAGGGGGAACUUUCUUUCUAAAAAAGAAUUUAACUUGCUUAAGUCAUUUAUUGACUUUAGCAUCGAAGGGGCGUGCCUGGACAAACCAUCCAGACAACCUUUGUGUAGGGAUUAUAGUCGUCUACAUCUUGAAAAGCUUAAACAAAAUUGUUGGUCAUCUCUUUCAUCCAACUCGUGGCAAUUAGAUGAGACCACUCGUUCGGAUCAUGUUACAACAAACACCUCAUUGACCAUACUAGUAUUGCAGCAUGCCAAAUUCAAUGAACUUUCACAAGCACCAUUUGGGGACUAGGAUUAAAAUGAGAGACCAAAAAAAGAGCCUCUCAUAAAUGGCAUCAAGUCAUUAUCUAAAAUGAUCAUAUGGCUCAUAAAUGUGAGAUUGCCCUACAACUUUCAAAAGAUCACAUCCACCAUAUAUAAUAGACUUACAUGUAAUUUAUAGAAAGCAUUCAGAUCUAACUUGCACAAUUUCAACGGAUGAUGGAAGUGAUGGUGUCAUAAAUUAAUCUAGAAUACCUGUAUAUUGUGAACAAUUCAUGGAGGUAGCCAACCAGCUCAACUUGGAAUAUGCUCUAUUUCAGACAUGGUUUGAAAUGUCAUAAAAUUUUGGUGAAAUAUUGUUAAUAUUUCACUUAUUGAGUAGAGUCAACAUGAUAUUCCACACCGAAAUUCAAUCAGCAAAUUUUAUGAUGAGUGAUUAUUCAAAAACAUCACCAAAAUAUUGGCUUUUUUGUCAAUUUUUCAGGAAGUCAAUGUGGUCAACGCAUAGGUCAACUCCUUCAAAUUAUUUGUCACGGGAGCCAUAAGGAUUCGAACCCAAGCCUUUUCAACUCCUUCAAGUUUUUUGAGGGAUUUGAACCUAAACCUAAAGGCUUAGGUUGAAGCUUGGCUACCACUAGGCUAAAUCAUUAUGAAAAAUGUAGAUAUGUUAAAUUUCAUUAUUAAUAGAAUAAAUGAAUUAAUUCUAAUUAUUUUAUUUUAAAUUUUAUUUAAUUGAUUAAUAAAAAUAUAAAAACCAUCAUUAUAAUUUUCUUAACAAGUAUUUUUUUUUUUUAUAUCCCUGCUUAUCAUGUUUUUCUCCUUGAUCAUACUUAUAUCAAUUACACUUACAAAAUAACUUUAAUAUGUGUAUUUUUGCUUAUUUUAUUAUUUUUCUUUUUAAUUUUCCAAACAUUUUCAUGAAUUUUGAAUAAUUUUCAUCUCAUCGAUAUUUUUAUCAAAAUAUUCACCAAUAUUUCUGAUAUACCUAUAAAAUCCAAGUAUCGCAUUCACCAAUAUUUCAAACCAAGAUUCUAGAUAAUGUCUAACUCAAGAAUAAAACAAAUAUGAUGGAAAUCUGACCAUAAGACCGAUUCAUGUCGGGACAUUAUUGAAUUAAGACCUCGUAGAUGAGUUCAGAGUGAGGCCAUAUAUUGCAAGGAUAUUUUAGAAGGAAAAUCCAGCUUUGUGUCAUGCUACUCUUGGAAGAGUGAGUGGUGGACUCUAGUAGAGAAUUGGAAGUUUCUGCCCUUACUAAUGGACUGACUUCUACACAACUAGAUUAAUUAAUUCAUAAACAGUGGUUGUGUUGGCUGAGAAAUGUCAUGGUUGUCAGUUAGCAUUUUGAAAGUUACCCCUAAGCUAUGGAUCAACAACACUUCACACAGUCGCCCAAAUCUUAAAAAGGUAAAUUUAAUGAGAGUAAACUGAAGAAUUUGAGGAGAAUAUUAAUCACUAGAACAUAAAUACAUAGCACAAGAAGCGACACCAUUUGAAGGACAAAAACCGAAUCUCAUGUGAAAUAAUUGUUCAUCUUUCCACAAACAACUUCAGUAAGAAAACCACCAAACUAUGGAUGUUUGUCCACAUUCUCAGUCAAUUUUCCCCAAGACACAUUUUGAAGCCACGUGACAUCUAAAGAUAUAUAUGGAUUUGGUUAAUCCUACUAGUUUUUUUUAUGAAGUGGUCUAUGUGUCAUUUACGUUUUUAAAUAUCAAUUAUGGUUUAUUAAAUAAUUAAUAUUAACUAAAAUCCUAUUAGUCAGUAAUUUUGAGAAAAAAUUUGACAACUAACUACUCAUUUUGAUGAAGAGUCAAAUAAUGAGUAUAUUUAGAAGAAAAAAACUAGUACUCCUACCUAGAAACAAAUAUUACUCUUUCUUUUUCCAUCUACAAAUCAUUGGUCAAAUUUAAGGGGUCAAGAGAGAGAAACACAAUUUUCUUCUACACUUUGAUUUUUCUUCGAUGAAUCACUCACGGAUCAAGAUACACAUUCCCUUGAUUUUGUGCUAUGAAAAUUAUAUUAUUCUUCAAUCUUUGAGUAUUAUGAUUUAAAUAAAAGUUAUGGUUUUGUUUUGCAUUAUGAGAAUUGAAAAAUUCCUAACAUUUUGCAUCAGAGCCUAUGAUUUAAGAACUUAUAAUAUGUUAGGGUGAAUUCACAAGAUUCCAAUAAACACCAGGAUUUUUCUACCAUUUCUUUGUGUAAAAUUAAAUAGGUAAUAGCAACUAGUAGUAAUAAAUAAAUAAACUCAUGCAAUGGAAAAAUAAAUCAGACACCAGAAUUUUUACGUGGAAAACCCCCCAAUGCAAAGGAAAAAACCACGGGACCUAGUCCAAUUCAAACUUCCACUAUCAACAAUAAUGGGUUACACCUUUCUUCUCUAGAAUAAUCUUUAGAUGCUACCAAAUACAUCAAGAGCACAUAUAGCCUUGGAUUAUAUAAUCUCUCUUGGCAAAAAAAACAAGGAAAAUUGAAGAAAGAAUACCCCAAAACACGUUGUUAUUGUUCAUGGCCAGUAACACUAGUUGCUGAGCUCAAAAUAUGAUCUCUACCGUUCAAAUUGUAGCUACUCAAGUUUUGAAUCUCUCCUCCAAAUUUCAACUCGAUCAGACCACAGAUGAAGUGGGAUCGGCUCUUUGGUGAAAUCUAGGCAGUGAGAUGUGUUUUUCCUUUCUCUUUUCUCUUCUCUCUGUUUUUCCUUUUUCCAAUCUCUUUUUGUUUUUGUUUUUUUUUUAUUAUUGUAAUUGACUUGAGUCCCAAGCAUAUGGGGCCCAUUCUCUCACAUACUAGGGAGCCCAACAAAUCUUCCCUUCUAGACUAUGUGAGGGGUUCUACCAAGCCCGCUUGCUUUCUAUAGAAUUAUAGCUUUUCUGUAGGUAUUGGUUUUGUCAUCAUAUCUAAUCCAUUCUCAUCAGUAUGGAUUUUCUCAAGGCAAAACAAUUUCAUCUCUAAUGCAUCACAAAUCCAAUGAUAUCUCACAUCAAUCUGCUUGGAUCUAGAGUGAAAAGUUGGAUUCUUCCUGAGAUGAGUAGCACUUUGACUAUCACAGUAGAGUAGAUGCCUUUCUUGUUGUAAACUCAAUUCUUAUAGGAAAUUCUUCACUAGCUUCAAUGAUAGCAAUCUACUCAGCCUCUAUAGUCGACAAAGCAACACAUUUCUACAACCUUGAUUGUCAUGACACUAUUCCCCCUGAAAAAGUGAUCAAAUAACCAGAAGUAGACUUUUUGGAAUCAACAUCCAUAACCAUAUCUGCAUUUAUGCAUCCUACAAGCAUAGGUUUGUCAGUCCCAAAACAUAAACAUGUCUUAGAAAUACCCCUCAGAUACCUAAAAAUCCAUUUCACUGCGGCCCAGUGUUCUUUGCCAGAAUUAGAAAGGAACCUGCUAACAACUCCAAUAGCAUGAGCAAUAUCAGGCCUCGUGCAUACCAUGGCAUACAUCAAACUACUCAUGGCUGAUGCAUAAGGCACCUUUCGCAUUUCUUCUAUUUUUUUCUCACUUGAAGGAAUUUGUUUGGAACUUAGCUUUAGAUGACUUCGAAGUGGAGAACUCACUGGUUUUGCCUUGCCCAUGUUGAACUUAUCUAAAACCUUCUCAAUAUAGCUUUCUUGAGAUAGCCACAAUUUUUCAUUCGUCCUAUCUCGAGAAAUCUUUAUACCAAGAAUUUGACUUGCUCAACUCUUUUUUCAGUUUAUCGAUUUUACCAGUAUCACGACCAACAAUCAGCAUGUCAUCCAUAUAUAGCAAGAGAAUAAUAAAUUUUCCGUCAGAGAAUUUCUUCACAAACACACAAUGGUCAGAAGCAAUUCUAUCAUAUCAAUACUCAACCAUGAAAGAAUCAAACUUCUUGUACCACUGUCUCAGUGCCUGCUUGAUACUAUACAAGCUCUUCUUCAGUCGAGAUAGUAAGUGUUCCUUGCCUUUGAUUAUAAACCCUUCUGGUUGCUCCAUAUAUAUUUCCUCCUCUAAGUCACCAUGGAGGAAAGCAGUCUUCACAUCAAGCUGUUCAAUCUCUAAAUUCAUACUGGCAAUCAAACCUAACACAACUCAGAUCGAAGAUAUCUUAACCACGGGUGAGAAAAUCUCUUCAAAGCCAAUGUCUUUCUUAUAACCAAAACCUUUCACAACAAAUCUUGCCUUGUACCUUGGCUAUGAUCUGUUUGGUUCAGGAUUCCUUUUCAGUACCCAUUUAUUCUUCAAUGCUCUCUUACCCUUAGGCAACUCCAUCAAUUCAUAAGUGUUGUUCUUAUGCAAGGAUUUCAUCUCUUCAUGCAUAACUCUCAACCACUCUUUUUUCUCAUCAUGCAGUAGAACCUCUUGAUAAUUUUUUGGAUCUCUCCCAUCAAAAAACAAAAAAUACUCAUCACUAGUAUACCUUUUGGAAGGUUGACGCUUUCUAGUAGAUCCUCUUAAUUAUGUUUCAGUAGGCAACUCUGAAGUAGCUUAUCCUUACUGCUAUUCUAGGUCAUCAUUCUCAUUUAUAGGAUUUUCUUCUACAUCAUCAACAACAGACUCAUCAUUUCUGUCAACUAUAUCAACCUAUUCUUCUUGCACAACUUCUUUAUGUUUAUUAUGUCCCAUAGAGUUAGGAAAGACUUGACCCAAAUCAACCUAUUCUUCACUGAAAGGCUUUGGCUUCUUAAUCUGAUCCAAGUCUUCAAUGGUUUGAUCUUCAAAGAAGACAACAUCUCUACUUCUUAUAAUCUUUUUGGCAGUUAGAUCCCAUAACUUGUACCCAAACUCUUCAUUUGAAUAACCCAAGAAGAUACACUGUUUAGUCUUGCUGUCAAGCUUGGACCGCUCGUCUCUAGGAACAUGAACAAAUGUCUUGCAACCAAAAACUCUCAAGUACUCAAAGGAAACAAAUUUUCCUGUCCAAACUCUCUUUGGAAUAUCACCCUUUAAAGGAUAUGAUGGAGACAAAUUAAUCAAAUCAACGGUUGUCCUCAUGGCCUCACCCCAAAAAGACUUAGGCAAUUUUUCAUGAGAAAGCAUACACCUGAUUCUAUCAUAGAUGGUUCUAUUCAUUCUCUCAACUACACUAUUUUGCUGCAGGGUCUUAGGAACAAUCUUCUCAAGCCUAAUUUCAUGACUUCUAUAGUAUUGCUCAAAUGGCCCCUUAUAUUCACCAUCAUUGUCUACUCUGACAGAUUUUAACUGCUUUCCAAUUUGCCUCUCAACUUUCACAUGAAAAUCUUUGAAUACAUCAAGUACCUGGUCUUUGGAUUUCAAAGCAUAUGCCCACACCUUUCUUGAAUGAUCAUCAAUAAAAGUCACAUAAUAAAGUGUGCCACCAAGAGUAUUACUUUGCAUAGUAUAAACAUCAGUGUGAACUAAAUCAAGAAUAUAUGGUUUUCUACGUGAAGGAAAUCUACAAAAUGCAACUCAACUUUGCUUUCCAGACAGACAAUGUGUACAAGGUAAUAGUGACGUACUUUUAACUGGUAGAAGCUUCUUUUUAGCAAGAACCUGAAGUCCCUUUUCACUCAUGUGACCAAGUCGCUUAUGCCAUAACUCAGUAGAGGCUUCAUUCUCAACAAUGUUGACCUCUCCCUUGACUAGUCUUGCUUCUGUGUUGUAGAGGGUAUUAUUUAUCUUCCCCCUAGCAAAAACAAGAGAACCCUUAGUAAGCUUCCACUUGCCCUCUCCAAGGUGACUAUGGUAGCGCUCAUCAUCAAGCUUCCCAACAAAGAUCAAACUAAAGCGCAUUUUAGGAACAUAUCUAACAUUUUUCAGAACCAAUUUGCACCCAAUGCUAGUUUCUAGCUCUAUAUCUCCCAUGCCAACAAUUUCACAUUUUGCUUCAUUACACAUCUUAACCCAACCAAAUCUGCCACUGUUGUAGGAAGAGAAGAAAUCUCUACAUGUAGUGAUAUGAAAUGACGCAGUUGUAUCAACCACUUAAGUGGAAUCCUGGCAUGCAAGGUUUACACACGCAUCAUCACUAACAAUGAUCAUAUCACCAUUAGAUGCAACUACUGCAAUGUCUUUGUCCUCUUUCUAUUCUUCACAUUUUCCUUUAAACUGUUCUCUUCUGAAUUUUCUACACUCUCUCUUAAUGUGCCAUGGCUUGUCACAAUAAAAACAUUUUAUCUCUUUUCAAGACUUUGACUUUCUUCUUGACUUGUCACGAUUAUAAUCACUGGAAGGUUUUUUUAUUUUACUUCUCCCCCACCUCUUUGUAACAAGUGCUUUUGUAUUAGAGGAAAUACCUAACUCUUUUCUUCUUGCCUCUUCAUUAAACAUGCUGUCUUUUACCAUGUUGACAAUUAUCACACCAUUUGGAGUUGAAUUACUCAAGGAUACCACCAAAGUUUCCCAACUGUCUGGUAAGGAACUCAACAAAAGUAAAGUCUGUACCUCAUCAUCUAGCUCAAGCUUCAUGGUAGACAACUCAUUCAACAAUCCUUGAAAAUUACUGAGAUGCUCUGCAACACUAUUGCCAUCCUUGUACUUUUAAUUCACAAGUCUUCUUAUCAUAAAGGCUUUGUUAUGUGCAGUCUUUCUCUCAUAAAGACUUUCUAAUUUUUGCCAAAGGCUAUAUACAUCAACUUCCUUGGCUACAUGAUGGAAGACAUUGUGAUCAACCCACUACCUAAUCUGUCCAAUGGUUUUCCUAUUUAAUUUCUUCCACUCAUCCUCAGUUGUAGUAACUGACUUAUAACCCCUGCAUUCAAUGGGCUCAAACAACUCUUUGCAAUAUAGAAUAUCCUCCAUCCUAGUCUUCUAAAUUGAAUAAUUGAAAGUUGUGAGUUUAAUCAUUCCACUACCAGCCUCCUCCAUUUAAUUCACACAAGAGAUCCCACUGCUAAUCAACUUGGCUCUAAUACCACUUGUUAGGGUGAAUUCACAAUAUUCUAAUAAAUACCAGGAUUUUUCUACCAUUUCUUUGUGUAAAAUUAAAUAGGUAAUAGCAACUAGCAGUAAUCAAUAAAUAAACUCAUGCAACGGAAAAAUAAAUUAGAUACCAAAAUUUUUACGUGGAAAACCCCCCAAUGCGAAGGGAAAAACCACGGGACCUAGUCCAGUUCAAACUUCCACUAUCAACAAUAAUGGGUUACACCUGUCUUCUCUAAAAUAAUCUCUAGAGGCUACCAAAUACAUCAAGAGCAUAUAUAGCCUUGGAUUAUAUAAUCUCUCUUGGAAAAAUAAAAAUAAAAAAAAUUGGAGAAAGAAUACCUAAAAACACAUUGUUACUGUUCACGGGCAGUAACACUAGUUCCCGAGCUCAAAAUCUGAUCUUCACCGUUCAGAUUGUAGCUACUUGAGUUUUGAACCUCUCCUCCAAAUUUCAACUCGAUCGGACCACAGAUGAAGCAGGAUCGACUCUUUGAUGAAAUCUAGGCAGUGAGAUGUGUUUUUCCUUUCUCUCUUCUCUUCUCUCUGUUUUUCUUUUUUCUAAUCUCUUUUUGUUUUUUUUAAAAUUUUUUAUUAUUAUUGUAACGGACUUAGGCCCCAAGCAUAUGGGGCCCACUCACUCACAUACAAGGGAGCCCAACAUAAUAUUCCUUUAAAGAUUUAAAAUCCAGAUAAUUUUUUAUUUUUGUAAAAAAACAACCAAUAUGUUACUUUUUCUACUGUUUGGUUUUUUUUUAAUUCAAUAAAAAAUUUGUAAUAAGUAGUAAAAAAAAAUAGAAAAACAAACAACUUAAAGUCUGAAUACAAAUUACUUUCAGUAAAAAGUAAAAAAAAAAAACAAACACCCUCAUAAACUAAUCACGAGAUUGUUAAUUUGUACUAAGAUCUCAUUUCUUUGUAAUAGAGAUAUAGUACCUUUUUAGACAUUCAUUCAAUUAUCUACAUAUAGCCAUACUUCAAUGAUCCGGAUUUUGAAUUUAUCAUGGUACCAAUUUUGUAUCUUAGAAUUUCUGUUACCAUUAAUCUAGUACUUUUCAAAAACCCUUUAGUUAUAGCAUAUUGUAGGCAUAUCAUACCAUAAUAUUAUAGCAUAAAAGACUUUAAAUUCUAUUUUCAUAAUCGGUUUUAUUAUAUCAUUUUCUCAGGUAAAACUGACAAUGAAAGUCACUUGAGAUUUUAUUAUAAUAUCAUAUAGACCGCAGAUCAAACCAAACGCACAAGGCCAACACGAGCCCAUAGUACGGGCCAGCUCAUACAGAAGUGUCAUUUUCCAGGCACACCCACAAAGUUGAAAAGGAGAGAUGGUUUCACCCAUCACUACUACUCAGUACUCUACACAUAUAUGUUUGAAAGCUCUCACACUCGCUAAUUAACAAUGCUUAGUGCAGAAGCAUCGACGACGAAAGCCACGGCAAUUUCCUCCAUGGAAACCCUCGGUCUGGCAAACAGCAGCACAGUUGCUCUGCCUGACACACGUUCCCUUGAACCG